rnacentral:rRNA from 1 species
GACAGAGGUGCCAAGCGUUAGGCGGAAUCACUGGGCUUAAAGCGCGUGUAGGUGGAUGCCUAAGUGCCUUGUGAAAUCCCACGGCUCAACCGUGGAAUUGCUUGGCAUACUGGGUGUCUUGAGCCACUUAGGGGUCGCUGGAACAAACGGUGGAGCGGUGAAAUGCGUAGAUAUCGUUUGGAACGCCAAUGGUGAAAACAGGCGAACUGGGAGUGUGCUGACACUGAGACACGAAAGCCAGGGGAGCGAACGGG